AUUGAACGCUGGCGGCAUGCUUUACACAUGCAAGUCGAACGGCAGCGCGGGCUUCGGCCUGGCGGCGAGUGGCGAACGGGUGAGUAAUACAUCGGAACGUGCCCAGUAGUGGGGGAUAGCUCGGCGAAAGCCGGAUUAAUACCGCAUACGACCUGAGGGUGAAAGCGGGGGAUCUUCGGACCUCGCGCUAUUGGAGCGGCCGAUGGCAGAUUAGCUAGUUGGUGGGGUAAAGGCCUACCAAGGCGACGAUCUGUAGCUGGUCUGAGAGGACGACCAGCCACACUGGGACUGAGACACGGCCCAGACUCCUCCGGGAGGCAGCAGUGGGGAAUUUUGGAGAAUGGGCGAAAGCCUGAUCCAGCAAUGCCGCGUGUGGGAUGAAGGCCUUCGGGUUGUAAAGCACUUUUGGCGGGAACGAAAAGGACUGUGCCAAUACCACGGUUCGAUGACGGUACCCGCAGAAUAAGCACCGGCUAACUACGUG
rnacentral:rRNA from 1 species